GAUGAACGCUGGCGGCGUGCUUAACACAUGCAAGUCGAACGGACCCUUCGGGGUUAGUGGCGGACGGGUGAGUAACGCGUGAGGAUCUGCCCUCAGGAGGGGAACAACAGUUGGAAACGACUGCUAAUGCCCCAUAUGCCGAGAGGUGAAAUGUUUUUCGCCUGAGGAUGAACUCGCGUCUGAUUAGCUAGUUGGUGAGG
rnacentral:rRNA from 1 species